rnacentral:lncRNA from 1 species
UUUUUUUUUUUUUUUUUUUUUUUUUUAGCUCUUUUGACUUCACACAUUGAAAUUUAUGGCACAUUUCACAGCGCUCCCCGCUGUGGGCCUCAUCAGGUCCUGGCUGCCAGGCCACUAGGAAACAAGAAAUGAAUGCUGGAGCACCCUGUGGCUGUUCUUAGCUAAAGAACUGCAAACAUGACCAAAGUUCCCUGCAAAUCCUCCCAGAUUGUCAGAAGAAAAAUGGCAACAAGCUGCAGCCAUUCAAUGAAGCAAUAUUUUCCUUAUUACUUGCAAAGUCUUUUAUUUAGCCUCAACAGUAUCAUAUUUGAAAUGAUUUCAUGACUGGGGGCAAUACUUGGGUAGCCAUCUGUUCUUUCCGAUUAGCUGUCAGAUGAGUAGAGUGUUUUUAGUCAAUGUUUUCAAAUUACUUUAAAAUACCAACAAAUUCAAUAUUUGUUCAUGACAUUAAUGAGGAAGAUUUUCAUGUUUGUAUGCCAAACAAAGUUAGAUUUUUCAAUAAUCUUAUAUUGUCUUCAUAGUCACUGGUGCAAAUGGGUAGAUUCUAACUGAUUUUUUUUUUUUUUUUUAAGGAAGGGAAAGGAAAAAAAGAAAAGAGUAAGGUGGCCAAAAUAUAGAGAUGGAUGUGAUAUACCAGGGCCUUCUUUGCACUUGUAGUUUUAAGAGUAAAUCUUUAAUUUGGAGAUUUCUGCCUACUCGCCAUUGCAAGCCCCUUCAGGGCAAUGAUCUAUCAAGUUCUGACUGUCUCAAACUGUUUGUGCUGGAUUCCACAUCGAUCACACUCACACUUGCUGCACUUUCAACCAGAGAGCUAAGAAACAAUAAUUUUCAAUUAAGAAACCAGAAGAAGACUUGGAGAUUUGAUUUAUGGUGCAUGACUAAUUAUCAAAUAGCUGGCCUAAUGAAAAUUAAGCUUCUGGUUACUACAAGAUUUAACUCCAUUUUCUUGAAGAGAUACUGAUAUGAUCUAGAAUGUAAUUUAUUAUAGUAUGGGUGCAUUUUAAAAAGUCGUAGACAUGUAAAUGAGAUAAUUAUCAUUUUUAAGUGACAAGGCUAAUUAUUUAUAUUAUGAUGAAUUUUAUAUUCAGAGUACACAUACACCUGAAAUAAAAGAUUGUCUUUGCUCACAAUAAUGAUUUUCACUGCUUUCUUAUGCUACGAAGAUCAAAAAAUGCUACACGUAAUAUAAGGAUUGGAGGAUCUUUUUCAAAAUAGAAAGUUAAAAUUAAUAGCUUUUUAAUUUUUUAAAAAUUCCUUGAUGUAAAUUACUCAGAAUGAGGAAAUGAAUGAAAAUUUAAAACUACAUAAAAUAUUAUCAAGUGUGUGUCAGAUCAUAUGUAUACUUUAUAUUAAUUAUACUUUUCUUAUUAAAUAUAGACAAACACAAAUGCCUAAAUCAUAAAUAUGCUAGCAUGCAGUUUACCUUUUUCCCAUAAAUGAAACAAUUUAAUUCUAUGUCAUGUGUGAUGUUCUCUGUCAUAUUAAUUUAGCAUUACUUAUAGUCAACUUUCCACCCUAUUUUUGAUCUACUUCACCUCAAACAUUCUCUUGUGCAACCAAAUUGAACUAUUCCAUAUUUUCUAAAAUCACAUUCAUUUCUUGCCAAUCUCCCUUCAUUCACAUGUCUCAAUAAAUUUCCCUAAAAUCCACAUCUCUAUAAAUUCUGCCAUAUUUCAAGCCCAUUCUUAGAUGUCACAUCUUCCAUGGAAGGAACAAAAAUUUUCUGUCUAUUCUUCCAUCUCAUUCUCAAAGGACGUCUCCUUUUUUCAAAAUUUCACAGAUUUAUAUGGUCAUCAUCCAUACCAGUGGUUCUCAAUCUUGUCUGCUAUGAUGAGGACUUACAACAUCCUGUUUUUGACAUGUGUAUUGAUUAGCAUUUUCAGUUCAUGUAAAUUUAUCACUGUGUCAUACAUGCACUCUUCUAAAUGCAUACACUAUACUUCAAUAAGAAGCAUUUUUUAAAAAUGACAGAGUUGUCACUCCAUUCCAAAUCAACUGAAUCAGAAUCUCGGAGGAUGUAGCAUUGACCAUUGUUAGUUUUUUAAAUUCCCUGGAUGACUCUAAUAUUCAGCCAGUUGUACAUAACCACUGAUUUAGCUGGUGUCUUAAGAAAUUUUCCUUCAUUUCCAGGGGGAUGAAUAUCACUGAGAUAAGCAGAUGUGAAUGGAUAGCCAAAACAAUAGGACUCCUAACCAUAUAUAUUUGUCAAAGAGUUUUAUGUUUGAUGCUUUUUUCAGGUAAUGUGCUUCUGAUUUAUAAUUAUUACAUGUGUCAGAGCUGAUAAGGUAUUCCUGAGAAUGCUCAUUUCUAAAAUAUGAUAAUUUUGAUGGGGUUGAUAUUGCAGUAUUUUGUAAUACUAUAUUUCUUAUUUUAUCCUUGUAAGAAUAACAUUCUCCCCUUCUGAUUGUGUGGUCCCUGAGAGCAGGAGCUGGUUCACCUUUUUUUUAAUGAAUAUUCAUCAUAAUACUAUUUCAAUGUUGCUUGGUUAACUAUUAAAAGGAAAAGUGAGAGAAAGAAAGUCAAAAUAGGAUAAGAGACUAAUUUUAUGUCUAUGCUUAACUAUGUCAUUAAAGAUGGCAAAAAUAUUAGAAACAAUCUUCUUAUUGCUUAAAUCAUGUUAUACCAGUAAGCAGCAAAUCUUUUUUUUGAAAUAGUUGGUCUUUGAUAAAACUUAUUUCCAGCUGUCCUUUCUACUGCUGCUAAAUUUGUUCAUGCAGAGACUGAUAAGUUUUCAUUAGAAUAAAGCAUCUCAAUAACAACCAUCCAAUAUAUUUGCAUUAUACUCUAUGUCCAGAGCUCUUUCUAAAGUACCAAUCUAUUGAGUCUCUAAGUCAUUUCAGAAUCUUUAACACAUACCUAUCUCUUUGCUGCUCAAAUUGGAGUUUGGGGGCCAAAAGAAUGGCUUGGAGCCUCUCAGAAAGGCUAAGUUUCAGGCCCUAUUCCAGAACCACUGAAUCAAAGUCUGCAUUUUAGAAGUUCCCUGGUGGCUCAGCAGGUGAAAGAUCUCCAAUUGUCACUGCUAUGGCUUGGGUUUGAUAGCUGGCCCAGGAAAUUCCAUAUGCCAUGGGUUCAGCCAAAAAAAAAAUCUGCAUUUUAAUAAAGUAUCCAAAGUUAUUGUGUGCACAUUGAAGUUUAAGAGGCUCCAAUCUAAAGACUAGUAAAGUCAAGACCCCCAUUAUUAGUAUCCUAUCUUUCUCUUCCAGAUUUAUUUCCUGCUAAUCUUUCACAUCCAAGCUGUGUCCCUAGCCCUGCCAGCUGACUUAGAACAAGCCAGCAUUUACUUGUAUUUUUUUUUAGAAGUAAAUAUUUACUUAUUUUUUGUUUUAAUUUUUUUAUUACUCAAUGAAUUGAUUACAUAUGUAGUUGAACAAUGAUCAUCACAAUCUAAUUUUAUAGGAUUUCCAUCCCACAACCCCAGCGCAUCCCUCCACUCCCCAAACUGUCUCCUUUGGAAACCAUAAGUUUUUCAAAGUCUGUGAGUCAGAUUCCUUUUUUCAGAUUCCACAUGUCAGUGAAAAGCAUUUGAUGUUGGUGUCUCACUGUCUGACUGACUUCACUCAGCAUGAUAAUUUCUAGGUCCAUUAAUGUUGCUAAAAAUGCUGGUAUUUCUUUCAUUUUCAUGGCUGAGUAAUAUUCCACUGUGUAUAUGUACCACAUCUUCUUGAUCCACUCCUCUGUCGAUGGACAUUUAGGUUGUUUCCAUGUCUUGGCUGUUGAAAAUAGUGCUGCAAUGAACAAUGGACUACAUGUGUCUUUGUGAGUCACGGUUUUCUCUGGAUAGAUGCCCAGGAGUGGGAUUGCUGGAUCAAAUUGUAGUCCUAUUUUUAGUUUUAUGAGGAAUCUCCAUACGGCUUCCCACAGUGGUUGCACCAAUUUACAAUCCCACCAACAGUGUAAUGGGGUUCCUUUUUCUCCAUACCCUCUCCAGCAUUUAUUGUUUGUAGACUUUUGGAUGAUGGCCAUUUUGGCCAGUGUAAGGUGGUACCUCAGAGUCGUUUUGAUUUGCAUUUCUCUAAUAAUGAGUGAUGUUGAACAUCUUUUCAUGUGUUUUUUGGCCAUCUGUAAAACAUCCGUCUUCUUUGGAGAAUUGUCUGUUUAGAUCUUCUACCCAUUUUUUGAUGUGGUUGUUUGUUUUUUUGGUAUUGAGCUACAGAAGGUGUUUAUAAAUUUUGGAGAUUAAUCCUUUGUCAGUCACUUCAUUUGCAAAGAUUUUCUCCCAUUCUGUGGGUUGUCUUUUCAUUUUGUUUAGGGUUUCCUUUACUAUGCAGAAACUUUUAAGUUUAAUUAGGUCCCAUUUGUUUAUUUUUGUUUUUACUGUCAUUACUCUAAGAGGUGGAUCUGAGAAGAUGUUGCUGUCAUUUAUGUCGGAGAGUGUUUGGUCUAUGUUUUCCUCCAAGAGUUUUAUGGUAUCUGGUCUUAUAUCUAGGUCUUUAAUCCAUUUUGAGUUUAUUUUUGUGUAUGGUGUUAGAGAGUGUUCUAAUUUCAUUCUUGUACAUGUGGCUGUCCAGUUUUCCCAGCACCACUUAUUGAACAGGAUGUCUUUUCUGCAUUGUAUAUUCUUGCAUUCUUUGCCAUAGAUUAGUUGGUUGUAGGUGCAUGGGUUUAAUUCUGGGCUUUCUAUCCUGUUCCACUGAUCUAUAUUUCUGUCUUUGUGCCAGUAUGGUUUUGAUGGUUUUGAUGACUGUUUCUUUGUAGUAUAGUCUGAAGUCAGGGAUCCUGAUUCUUCCAGCUCCAUUUUGCUUUCUCAGGAUAGGUUUGGCUAUUCUGGGUAUUUUGUGCUUCCAACAAACUUUAAAAUAAUUUGUUCGAGUUCUGCAAAAAAUGUCCUUGGUACUUUGACAGAAAUUGCAUUGAAUAUGUAGACUGCCUUGGGUAAUGUAGUCAUUUUGAUAAUAUUGACUCUUCCAAUCCAAGAGUAUGGUAUGUCUCUCCAUCUCUUUGUGUCAUCUUUGAUUUCUUUCAUUAGCAUCUUAAAGUUUUCAGAGUACACAUCUUCUGUCUCUUUAGGUAGGUUUAUUCCUAAGUAUUUUAUUCUUUUUGAUGCGAUGGUAAAUGGGAU